rfam:Poecilia formosa, whole genome shotgun sequence.
GGCCGGUUAACUCAGCUGGUCAGACCGUGGUGCUAAUAACACCAAGAUCAUGGGUUCAAUACCCAUACUGGCCA